UAGGGAAUCUUCCGCAAUGGACGCAAGUCUGACGGAGCAACGCCGCGUGAGUGAAGAAGGAUUUCGGUUCGUAAAGCUCUGUUGUUAAGGAAGAACGAGUGUGAGAAUGGAAAGUUCAUACUGUGACGGUACUUAACCAGAAAGGGACGGCUAACUACGUGCCAGCAGCCGCGGUAAUACGUAGGUCCCGAGCGUUGUCCGGAUUUAUUGGGCGUAAAGCGAGCGCAGGCGGUUAGAUAAGUCUGAAGUUAAAGGCAGUGGCUCAACCAUUGUAGGCUUUGGAAACUGUUUAACUUGAGUGCAGAAGGGGAGAGUGGAAUUCCAUGUGUAGCGGUGAAAUGCGUAGAUAUAUGGAGGAACACCGGUGGCGAUGGCGACUCUCUGGUCUGUAACUGACGCUGAGGCUCGAAAGCGUGGGUAGCAAACAGG
rnacentral:rRNA from 1 species